GGUCGGCGGUGGCUAACUACGAUGCAAGUCGAACGGGAGUGCAUUAAGAAGAGUGCUUGCAUUCCGGAGGAUGUAUCUUAGUGGUCGGACGGGUGGGUAACGGACGUGGGUAACCGUGCCCCGACUACCGGGGACGUACCACCUGGAAACAGGUAGCUAAUACCGCAUAAGCGCACGGGAGCGCAUGCUCCUGUGUGAAAAACUACCGGUCGGUAUGGGAGUGGACCCGCGUCUGAUUAGCCAGUUGGCAGGGUAACGGCCUACCAAAGCGACGAUCAGUAGCCGGCCUGAGAGGGUGGACGGCCACAUUGGGACUGAGACACGGCCCAAACUCCUACGGGAGGCAGCAGUGGGGAAUAUUGCACAAUGGGGGAAACCCUGAUGCAGCGACGUCGCGUGAGUGAAGAAGUAUUUCGGUAUGUAAAGCUCUAUCAGCAGGAACGAGACAAGACGGUACCUGACUAAGAAGCCCCGGCUAACUACGUG
rnacentral:rRNA from 1 species